GGAGAGAUGCCGGAGUGGUCGAACGGGCACGCCUGGAAAGCGUGUAGACCUGCAAGGGUCUCCAGGGUUCGAAUCCCUGUCUCUCCG
rnacentral:tRNA from 1 species